rnacentral:rRNA from 1 species
CCUACGGGUGGCUGCAGUGGGGGAUAUUGCACAAUGGGGGGAACCCUGAUGCAGCGAAGCCGCGUGAGCGAAGAAGUACCUCGGUAUGUUAAGCUCUAUUAGCAGGGAAGAAAAUGACCGUACCUGACUAAGAAGCCCCGGCUGAAUACGUGCCAGCAGCCGCGGUGAUACGUAUGGAGCAAGCGUUAUCCGGAUUUACUGGGUGUAAAGGCGGCGCAGGUGGCGUGCCAAGUCUGGUGUGAAAACUGGGGGGCCAACCCCGGGCCUGCAGUGGAAACUGGCGGUCUGGAGUGUCAGAGGGGUAGGCGGAAUGCCUAGUGUAGCGGUGAAAUGCGUAGAUAUUAGGAGGAACUCCGGUGGCGAAGGCAGCCUACUGGACGAUGACUGACGCUGAGGCUCGAAAGCGUGGGGAGCAAACAGGAUUAGAUACCCUAGUAGUC